GGGGAUGUAGCUCAGUUGGGAGAGCGCUGCCUUUGCAAGGCAGAGGUCACGGGUUCGAAUCCCGUCAUCUCCA
rnacentral:tRNA from 1 species